CCCUUAGAUGUCCUGGGCCGCACGCGCGCUACACUGAGUGUCUGAGAUACGAGUCUGCCUGGUCCGGCAAGGUCUAGGUAAUCGCUAAAAGACACAUCAUGCUUGGGAUAGAUUAUUGCAAAUAUUAAUCUUGAACGAGGAAUUCCUAGUAAGCGCAAGUCAACAGCUUGCGUUGAUUACGUCCCUGCCCUUUGCACACACCGCCCGUCGCUACUACUGAUUGGAUGUUUAAGCGAGGUUCUCGAACUGCUAGCGACUUAGCUUCGGUGAGGUCGUAGUGUGGGAAGUGAACCUAGCUUUGGUGUCUAGAGGAAGUAAAAGUCGUAACA
rnacentral:rRNA from 1 species